CUGUUCGCCCAUUAAAGCGGUACGCGAGCUGGGUUCAGAACGUCGUGAGACAGUUCGGUCCCUAUCCGUCGCGGGCGCAGGAAAUUUGAGAGGAGCUGUCCUUAGUACGAGAGGACCGGGAUGGACACACCGCUGGUGUACCAGUUGUUCUGCCAAGAGCAUCGCUGGGUAGCUAUGUGUGGCCGGGAUAAGUGCUGAAAGCAUCUAAGCACGAAGCCCCCCUCAAGAUGAGAUUUCCCAUUGCGCAAGCAAGUAAGAUCCCUCAAAGACGAUGAGGUAGAUAGGUUCGGGGUGGAAGCGUGGCGACACGUGCAGCUGACGAAUACUAAUCGAUCGAGGACUUAACCAA
rnacentral:rRNA from 1 species